rnacentral:lncRNA from 12 species
UCUGUCUUUAGCUCAGAUCAUGAUCUCAAGGUCCUGGGAUCAAGGACCUAGUGAGGAGUCUGCUUCUCCCUCUCUCUCUACCCUCUCCCCCGCUUAGGUACUCUUGUGUUCUCUCUCUUGCUUGCUCUCUCUCACGUAAAUAAAAUCUUAAAAAAAAAAAAAGAUGAACAAUCUACAGAGAUACUCAAUGUGGGAGAGUCUCACAACUACAAUGUAGAAUAAAAGCCCAGCACACGAGAGCAUAGACUCCCUGUGUGAUUCCAUGUACACGAAGGACAAAAGUAGGCAAAACUGAUGGAUAGUGUUAGAAGUCAGGUGCUGGUUGGGACAUGAAGGAGUUCUGGGUGCUGGUUACAUGGGCAUGUCAGAAAAAUUAAUCAACUGGCACCCUUAUGAUAUCUGCACNNNNNNNNNNCCGACGCCCGCGGCGACCGGAUGCAGGUCCGGGUCCCAGCGGUCUGCGGGGGACCCACGGCGCCUCCGAGGCGCAGGCCUCCGCUGCCGCCUUCCGGCCCUCGCCCGGGUCCGGAGCCUUCGGGAGGGGCCGCGGGUGCCUCACGCGUUGCCGAGCCCCCCGGACAACAUGGCUCCCGGGCCGCCGGGCCGCCGGGCCGCGCGGGCAGCCCACUAAUCCCCUCGGAGGGGCCCGGGCGGGAGCGAGGCCGGGCAGGGAGGUGCCGGCGCUCGGCUGAGGCGGCCCGCCCGGACCGGGGCUCCUUCUUCUCUGCGGCCGGACCCGGAGGAGCUCGGGAGACCGCGGGCGGCCGCUCCCGUUCGCUGCGUGUGCGUCGCUUUCUCGCUCGGCGACUGCGGAUUGACGCCUCCGCCUGUUCCCCGGAGGAGAGCGAGCGAGCGAGCGAGCGAGCGAGAAAAAAGACUUUUAUUGAAACGAUCCAACCAGCAGCAGCGGAGAAAAGCGACCCGCCGCGGGAGCUUCCCCCACCCCCGCCUGAGCGGCUCGCGGCGGGCAGCGCGACCCCUGCUGGCGGCGGCCGCGGGGCGGGGCCGGCGGGCCGGGGGCGGGGCCGGGGCGGGCGGGGCCCGGAGGGCGGGGCGGGGCGGGGUAUCCCCGGGAAACCCCCCGCCCGGGGGUGGGGGCCCUGCUCCCGGCGGCCGAGCUCCUGGAGCCGCGGGAGGGAGGUGAGAGGGCGAGAAGGUUCGGUAGAGCCACUCCGCGGGCAUCGGGAACGAGAUUACCCCGGAUGA